CCCUUAGAUGUUCUGGGCCGCACACGCGCUACACUGAAGGAGGCAGCGUGUACUCCUGGAUCGAAAGAUUUGGGUAACCCGCGAAUCUCCUUCGUGCUAGGGAUUGAGGUUUGCAAUUAUCCUUCAUGAACGAGGAAUUCCCAGUAAGUGCAAGUCAUAAGCUUGCGCUGACUACGUCCCUGCCCUUUGUACACACCGCCCGUCGCUCCUACCGAUUGAGUAUACCGGUGAAUUAUUCGGAUCCCAGUUUUGGGUGGCAACACUUGAAGCAGGGAGAAGAUUUGUAAGCCAUGAUACUUAGAGGAAGGAGAAGUCGUAACA
rnacentral:rRNA from 1 species